rnacentral:rRNA from 1 species
CAAAGCAAAAACAAUAAAAUACCAAACACACAACGCAAACUCCUAAAACACAUUGAGCCACACUAUAACAAUAGACGAACCAAUGCUAAAACUAGUAACAAGAAAGCUUCUCUACAGCACACCCCUGCCUCAGUAAUAGAAAACCUACUGAUAAUUAACAGACCAAAAUCGGAAAAACACACAAACACUUGUUUUAACCCACUGUCACACCAACACAGGCGUGCUACAAAGAAAGAUUAAAAGUCGUAGAAGGAACUCAGCAAAACUUUAUCCCAACUGUUUACCAAAAACAUAGCCUUUAGCAACACAAGUAUUAAAGGUCCUGCCUGCCCAGUGAAAUCUCUUUUUAACGGCCGCGGUAUUCUAACCGUGCAAAGGUAGCGUAAUCAUUUGUCUUCUAAUUAAAGACCAGUAUGAACGGCUAAAUGAGGAUAACCCUGUCUCCUACAACCAAUCAGUGAAACUGAUCUUCCAGUCCAAAAGCUGGAAUAUUAACAUAAGACGAGAAGACCCUGUGGAGCUUAAAACCAACUGCUACUACAAGCACAAAACCUUAACCUUAGCACGCGGCUUUAAGUUGGGGCGACUUCGGAACAAAAUAAAACUUCCGAGCACAGAACCACCACUUCUUACUAAGGCCAACAAGCCAAAGCAAAAUUUGACCCAGUCACACUGAUCAACGAACCAAGUUACCCCAGGGAUAACAGCGCUAUCUUCUUCAAGAGUUCUUAUCGACAAGAAGGUUUACGACCUCGAUGUUGGAUCAGGACACCCAAAUGGUGCAGCCGCUAUUAAAGGUUCGUUUGUUCAACGAUUAACAGU